AAGCACAACCGUACGCUUUGAAUUGAAUUACUCUGGAAAACUUUUUUUUAGGGAAUGCAAAAUAUAUUUUGGAAUAUGAGAAGUACGCCAACUUUUGGCACCGCUUCGGAGCGAUGAUAAUAGACGCGCAGGAGGGUGUUUGACCUGUUGGCGUUUAAAAUCGAUUUUCGCACGUUCAGCAGUAAAGAGAGAGAGAGAGAGAGAGAGAACGGAGAGAACACGACGCAAAGUCGACACUGGGCGUGCGCUUUCGAGUGAGAGGGAGCGCAACACUGUUUCGGGCGCGGUAAUGAGGGCAUUACGCGCGAGCGCCAGCUGACAGCACAAGUUUGCACCGUUCCCACGCCAACUUUUCACCUCCGUAGACCCGCGAACGGAUGUGCACUUCACUAAUGACAAGGACCUCAAGAGCUGAACCUCCUUGGUUUAUUCUCACAGUCAGUCAAACCAGUUCUUUCCUCUCCUCUCGGAUGUGUUCCGCUUGGUGAUCUGCGUCCGGUAUAUGUUUGCUCAACGGGACUAGUGUUCUCUCGGAGGUCGCGAACGAAAGGUGCGAUGAGGCUGCUCUUCUGGAGCGUUCUGCUGCUCAUCCAGUGGAUUGUAAGACAGCCACUGGGAGAAAGAGAGAGGAACGGAGGUGAGGUGAGACGACGACUGGGCACCGACCAAGAAGAAGCUGUUUGAUACACGCGUCUGAAGACGUGCGACGAGCGUGAAAACGAGAGAAAGAGAGAUGAGAGGGAGAUGAUGGAUGGUCAGUCCAGGUUAAGACUGCAGCGCUGCCCUGAUCAACAUCAGAAAACACUUAGAAACUCAGUAGAGCUGAUGUAGAAAUCAAGUGUUGUUUCAUGUGUUCUUCAGAAUAUAGAAGCUGAUGCGAACGUUUUAUGAGUCUGUGUUGAGCUUGAGAUUGGGCCAAACAACAUCAAGAUGCUAUUUUUUUAUGUUUUUUGCUUUAUUUGAGAAGCAAACAUGUACAUGUUUUUAGAUUAAGACCCUCACCUUUUCUUUCUUUUUUGUUCUGUUUUUCUUUAAAUGAUGGCUCAAAAAAAAAAACCAGAUUUGUGAUUGUUAAAAUAUGCCUUAAAUGUUUGUAUUUGAAUAAUGUUUAUAAAGAAAAAAAAUAAAAUAAAUAUAUAUAUAUAUAUAUAUAUAUAU
ensembl:lncRNA